rnacentral:lncRNA from 1 species
GCAUAUGGUUUAACCCCCAAUGCAGUUGCUCUUUUAAAGUCCUAUUUAUCUAAUCGAAAACAGCAAAUUAAAGUCAACAAUGUUCUGAGUGGUUGGGCUGACAUCCAUAAAGGCGUACCACAGGGUUCGAUACUAGGGCCAUUGUUGUUUAAUAUAUUUAUAAAUGAUAUUUUUCUUUUUGUUAAAAAUGGUAGUUUAUAUAACUAUGCAGAUGACAAUACUUUAUCUUUUUGUACUCCAGAUUUCGAUUUAUUAAUUUCAACUUUGGAAUCUGAUUCAAAAAUACUUAUUGAGUGGUUCAGGGUAAAUAAAAUGCAAGCAAAUCCUGACAAAUUUCAAGUUUUGGCUGUUGGCAAAAAGACCUUUGAAAAGAACCCAUCUAUACAUAUUCAAAAUUCGAACCUCACAUGUGAAAAAACAGUAAAAUUAUUAGGCAUUGAAAUAGACUACCAGCUAAAUUUUGAUGUUCAUAUCAGCUCAAUCUGUAGGAAGGCAUCACAGCAAUUAAAUGUUUUAAAACGUUUAGGCUCAUUUUUGGAUAGACUUAGUAAACUUACUACAUUUCAUACUUUUAUUCUUAGUAAUUUUAAUUUUUGUCCUUUGGCAUGGCAUUUUUGCACUGAGAAAAAUUCCAAAAAACUAGAAAAGGUGCAAGAAAGAGCACUCCGUUUUGUUUAUGAGGAUUUUACCAGCUCCUACGAGGACCUCUUACUUAAAGCUAAGGUGCCUGCCUUGCAGAUCAGACGGACAAGAACAAUGGCUCUAGAAACUUUAAAAUUAUAAAAAACAUCGCUCCUGUGUGCUUACAAAAUUUGGUGAAUGUCAAAAAAUCUAAAUAUUCUUUCAGGUAUGUAAAUAUUCUUGAAAUUCCACAGGUAAAGUCAACCCGUUACGGUAAAAAAUCGUUCAAAUUUGCUGCUGCUACUUUAUGGAACAGUCUUCCAAACCAUUUCAGGACUGAAAACAGUUUUUCACAUUUUAAAAGUCUUGUUCAGUCCUGGAACGGUUUGGAAUGUCACUGUUCUGCUUGCAGAUAAUUCUUAAACUGUUUUAUUAUUUAUGCUGCUUUUGGUUGCUCUGGUCAAGCAUGUUUUUACUUCAUUCUAAAUCUGUUAAUUAUUUUUAUUGCAUGCUAUGUAUGUGAG